CAGCCGCCGCGGUAAUACGAAGGGUGCAAGCGUUAAUCGGAAUUACUGGGCGUAAAGGGAGCGUAGGCGGACAUUUAAGUCAGGGGUGAAAUCCCAGAGCUCAACUCUGGAACUGCCUUUGAUACUGGGUGUCUUGAGUGUGAUAGAGGUAUGUGGAACUCCGAGUGUAGAGGUGAAAUUCGUAGAUAUUCGGAAGAACACCAGUGGCGAAGGCGACAUACUGGAUCAUUACUGACGCUGAGGCUCGAAAGCGUGGGGAGCAAACAGGAUUAGAUACCCCGGUAGUCCCUGUCUCUUAUAC
rnacentral:rRNA from 1 species